AUCAAUAAAAAUAAAACAACAGUGUGUAGUACUCUAAUUGUUCUUUUUUCAAACUUAACAAGUGGCAAUGUAAAAAGUUGAGAAGUAACUACAUUACUAAUGGAAAGAAAUACAUGACGAGGGACAUAAUGAGGCGGAAGAAAAAAAUGGCUAAUAAAAAUGGUGUUGUGUUUAAGGAGUGAGAGAGAAGAGAGUAUCAGGAAUUCAUAAAUGAUUUAUUGUGAUAAACCUAUUUCACAAAUUAUGCUAUUUAAUAUUUUAUAAAUCAUGGUAAUCAUCAUCUUAUAAUACUAUAUGAGUUUUAAGCAUUG
rnacentral:lncRNA from 1 species